AUCCGCCCGGACAGAACCAAACACGCAGCGAGCUGGAAGUUUGUGUCACUGGGGAUAAUUCCCAGCUCGCAUUUCAGAUUAAAGCAACAAGAUUCCUUUCAAAUCCUGCAGCCAGCGACGAUGAGGAGGAGGUCCACCUUCAUCAUCUUCAUCAUCUUCAUCAUCAUCCGCAGCUUAAGUUUGAUCCUCCAGGAAGCAGCUGGGCUGUGGAUCAGGGCAGGAAUGGAUCAGAACCGACGUGUAAACAGCAGCGGGUUUCCAGACGCUGCAUCAGUCUGGUUCCAGCAAGUCUAACAGCCGUCGUUAAAAGCAGAAUCAUCCUGAUCAUCCUCGGCCCGAGGCUCCGCUGGAACAAACAGAACCUGAAGCAGAACCAGUGAAAGGCUGCAGGCACUGAGCACCCCCACCCCCCGCAUUGUUCCUUCUUCAUGACGACGAUGAAGAUGAUGAUGAUGAGGACGCUCCUGGAGCUCCUCAUUGCGGCGGUGACACGAGGGCUUCGGUCCAGUUGGGCAAAUGUCGGAAGUUUAAAGCCUGCAGCUUUUCUACUGAAAUAUUCAGGAACCAGAACCUUUAAAGAACCAGAACCGAGCUCAGAAUAUCUACAAAGAUCAGGUAGAAAAACAGAAACUAGAGCUGCAAUUAGAGACACAACCCACCAUUAAGAGAACUGAGGCUGGCUCAGAAAGGUACCAGAACUGACCUGAGGGGGAACCAGAACUCUGAAGGUUUUCUUUUGGACCAGAACUGUUUUCCGGUCCCUGCAGCAGAACCAAACCCAGAGUUCUGCUGCAACAGAGAGGAUGGCCCAGCAGCUCCUGGUUCUGCUGGAUUCUACUGAUCACAUGUGGUGGGGGUCCAAAAUCAGCUUUGGUUCUGAUCCAGAAAUCCACUGUGGAUCGGAACCGAGGAGACUCUGACGAUCCAGAACCUCUGGACUCUGAGACGUUCUCCUCUGGCAGAAGGAGACCAGAACCCGAACCGAGGGAACCUUCAAGCUCCAAGUCUGAGAUUCCCUUUCUGGCUCAGAUGGAACCUCCAGAACCUUCAGA